rnacentral:rRNA from 1 species
UACGUAGGGUGCGAGCGUUAAUCGGAAUUACUGGGCGUAAAGCGUGCGCAGGCGGCGCGUUAAGACAGGUGUGAAAGCCCCGAGCUUAACUUGGGAAUUGCGCUUGUGACUGGCGUGCUGGAGUGUGGCAGAGGGAGGUGGAAUUCCACGUGUAGCAGUGAAAUGCGUAGAGAUGUGGAGGAACACCGGUGGCGAAGGCGGCAUCCUGGACCAACACUGACGCUGAGGCGCGAAAGCCAGGGGAGCAAACGGG